UUUCGGUCAACAUCAGAAGGAGAUUGGGGAUGAUCAACUGGGAAGGGGGAGGCGUCGUCGGUUCAGUUCAGGUUGUUGCCGCUGUUGCCUACUCCGACUCUCAUCGAUCUGUUGCAUAUGGUUUGUUUCAGACGACACGCGUUGUCAGCUCGAUCUGUUUCAGAUGCGGAAAUUAGGUGCAGCGGCAACCAGAGAACCAACCGCUUGUGUUGUGACAGGGAAAUGGCCAAACGCAUCGGAGCCAAGCCUUAUCUUGUCGCUACUUCUUCACCACCUCCAUCCACCCUUGUUGCGGAUAGUCAUAAACAACGCAAGCCUCCACUCACCUUUUUUUGCUGGAUUUCAGCCUUUUUUUCUGUUUUUUUUUAAAUUGUAUUACUACUGCUGAAGCAGAUUUCAGUGCUUAUAUGAUGAUAUGAUAUGACGCCGACGCGUCAACCAAAAAUCAAUGGAGGAGACUGAGUACCAGGAACUUUUGUUGGAAAAAAAGAAAAGAAAAGACGACCGGGAAU
rnacentral:lncRNA from 1 species